AGCAGUAGCCACGGUAAUACGUAGGUCCCGAGCGUUGUCCGGAUUUAUUGGGCGUAAAGCGAGCGCAGGCGGUUAGAUAAGUCUGAAGUUAAAGGCUGUGGCUUAACCAUAGUACGUUUUGGAAACUGUUUAACUUGAGUGCAAGAGGGGAGAGUGGAAUUCCAUGUGUAGCGGUGAAAUGCGUAGAUAUAUGGAGGAACACCGGUGGCGAAAGCGGCUCUCUGGCUUGUAACUGACGCUGAGGCUCGAAAGCGUGGGGAGCAAACAGGAUUAGAUACCCCCGUAGUCCCUGUCUCUUAUACA
rnacentral:rRNA from 1 species